GUGGUGGACUGGAGUAACUUGGUGGUGGAGCAUAACGUGUUGGUGGUGGUGAAUACUCAGGUGGAGGUGGUGGACUGGAGUAAUUUGAUGGCGGAGUUGGUGGCUCAUAGCUCGGUGACGGGGGUGGUGGAUACUCAGGUGGCGGCGGUGGACUGGAGUAACCUGGUGGCGGGGUUGGUGGCCCAUAGCUUGGUGACGCCGGUGGUGGAUACUCAGGUGGUGGCGGUGGACUGGAGUAACCUGGUGACGGUGGUGGCGGUGGACUAGAGUAACUUGGUGGCGGAGUUGGUGGCUCAUAGCUUGGUGACGCCGGUGGUGGAUACUCAGGUGGUGGCGGUGGACUGGAGUAACCUGGUGACGGUGGAGGCGGUGGACUAGAGUAACUUGGUGGCGGAGUUGGUGGCUCAUAGCUUGGUGAUGGCGGUGGUGGAUACUCAGCUGGUGGCUGUGGACUGGAGUAACCUGGUGACGGUGGUGGCGGUGGACUAGAGUAACUUGGUGGCGGAGUUGGUGGCUCAUAGCUUGGUGACGCCGGUGGUGGAUACUCAGGUGGUGGCGGUGGACUGGAGUAACCUGGUGACGGUGGUGGCGGUGGAC
rnacentral:lncRNA from 1 species